AAACUGCCCCCUAAGUUUUGCAACUGUAGCAGUUUUGGCCCCCAAAGCCAAUUUUUGGUAAAAAAGAAUAUAAAAAAAACACGUGGCACCUCACUUAGGGUGCAAUGUCAGCGUAGACUGAGUCAAAAUUAGCAUUGAGGGCCAAAACUGCCACAUAUGCAAAACUUAGGGGCAGUUU
rnacentral:pre_miRNA from 1 species